GAUUGUUUUGGAGUCUUCUGGAUAUGAGAACAUUAUAAAAGGCCCCAAACAUCCUGUGGGAUUUCAACCAUCAAAAUUGGAAAGAUGCCAGACUGAGAUCUCCUCAUUAGUAACUCUUGGAAAGAUUAUGCAAAGAGCUUUUGACUUCUUCUACUAGGAGAGGAGAAACCAUGGACAAUUAUUUUUUCCUUGGUAAUCUUUCAUUCACUCCUGGAUGAAGAUCAGCUGCAACAGCAUGUCCCUGGUUCAACUCAUCUUCCACCUUGCUGUGAUAUUACGCUCCCUAAAGUACAGCUCUGAUCAAUUCACUGUACUGUUCAAAGACCUUCAACGUCUCUCCAGACUCAAAUACCACCAUCUCCAAAACAUUUUCUCUGGUGCUACAAGUGGAAAUUGUUCCUUCCUCCAAGUACAGCCUGGAUCCCUGCACAUCCUGCAUUGUAUUAAAGGUAUUUGUGUACAUGUUUUAUGUUCAUUAUGGUGCAAUAAUAUAUCUGUAUGGAGAGUGUGUGUCAGGUUCAUGUUAUUCAUCCCCCAAAGCACCUUUUUAAAUGAAAAACUAAAAGAUGCAGUUAUUAUGAAUAAUGGAGUGAAUGACAGCUAUUCUUGCAGGAAAG
ensembl:lincRNA